rnacentral:rRNA from 1 species
UACGUAGGUGGCAAGCGUUGUCCGGAUUUACUGGGCGUAAAGGGCUCGUAGGCGGCCAACUAAGUCAGACGUGAAAUCCCUCAGCUUAACUGGGGAACUGCGUCUGAUACUGGAUGGCUUGGAUUCGGGAGAGGAAUGCGGAAUUCCAGGUGUAGCGGUGAAAUGCGUAGAUAUCUGGAGGAACACCGGUGGCGAAGGCGGCAUUCUGGACCGACAUUGACGCUGAGGAGCGAAAGCCAGGGGAGCAAACGGG